GACGAACCGUCCGAACGUUAUUCGGAAUCACUGGGCUUACAGAGUUCGUAGGCGGUCUGGAAAGUUGGGUGUGAAAUCCCUUGGCCUAACCAAGGAACUGCGCUUGAAACUACCAGACUCGAGGGAGAUAGAGGAAAGCGGAACUGAUGGUGGAGCGGUGAAAUGCGUUGAUAUCAUCAGGAACACCGGUGGCGAAGGCGGCUUUCUGGGUCUCUUCUGACGCUGAGGAACGAAAGCUAGGGGAGCGAACGGG
rnacentral:rRNA from 1 species